AGGCAGGAGGCAUAAUGACACAGAGACCACCCUCCGAAGCAGCCACUUCCUCCAGGGAACUAAUCUGUGGAGUUUGGAGAUCAGCUGACAUUCCGGGAGAUCUCCAAGAGGCCUUUCUUUGCUGAACUCAUUUCUUGGAUAAGAGGAUGGUCCCAUACUAUCUAUUUGGAUUGGAGCUGACUUCUUCUGGUGUUGUCCCUCUUCGUCUGUUGGCUGAAUUCAUUCCCUAAGAUCUGCUCUUCAGAUUGGUGGCUUGGAACUCAGGAACCACACAGUACACUUCAGAUUCUGCAAGAAGGCAGCACUUCCAGGAGAGUGGCUACAGGACAACUGUGGACAUUGUCUGAGAGCUGCUCCCUUAGGGGAAUGUGAGUAAGGCUUUGGAUUGAUGGGCCAUCUUUCAUCCUGGGACUCUGGACUUUUUUUGGAGGGGGGGAGUUCCAUAUCCAGUGUUACAAGUUCUGUUUAUCUGUUACAAUAAAUAUAGUUUUGCUUAUA